UGGGGGGUGGUGUAACGGUAGCACGCCAGAAUUUGGAUCUGGAAAUCUUGGUUCGAAUCCAAGCCUCCCAGCCA
rnacentral:tRNA from 3 species